CUACGGGCCGCACCAGUGGGGAAUAUUGCACAAUGGGGGAAACCCUGAUGCAGCAACGCCGCGUGAAGGAUGAAGGCCUUUGGGUCGUAAACUUCUGUCCUAGGGGAAGAAACAAAUGACGGUACCCUUGGAGGAAGCCCCGGCUAACUACGUGCCAGCAGCCGCGGUAAUACGUAGGGGGCAAGCGUUAUCCGGAAUUAUUGGGCGUAAAGCGUGCGUAGGCGGUUUUUUAAGCGCGGGGUUUAAGGCAAUGGCUCAACCAUUGUUCGCCCUGCGAACUGAAAGACUUGAGUACAGGAGAGGAAAGCGGAAUUCCUAGUGUAGCGGUGAAAUGCGUAGAUAUUAGGAGGAACACCAGUGGCGAAGGCGGCUUUCUGGACUGACACUGACGCUGAGGCACGAAAGCGUGGGGAGCAAACAGGAUUAGAUACCCGAGUAGUC
rnacentral:rRNA from 1 species